GUGAUAUUAAGCAAAACCCAAAAAGACAGUCUCAGUUCGGAUUGAAGGCUGAAAUUCGCCUUCAUGAAGCCGGAAUUGCUAGUAAUGGCAGGUCAGCAUACUGCCGUGAAUACGUUCCCGGGCCUUGUACACACCGCCCGUCACACCAUGAGAGUUGGGGAUACCCGAAGCCUGUGAGCUAACAGUAAUGAAGCAGCAGUCGAAGGUAGAAUCAAUGAUUGGGGUGAAGUCGUAACAAGGUACC
rnacentral:rRNA from 1 species